UACGAAGGGGGGCUAGCGUUGCUCGGAAUCACUGGGCGUAAAGCGCACGUAGGCGGCUCUUUAAGUCGGGGGUGAAAUCCUGGAGCUCAACUCCAGAACUGCCUUCGAUACUGGAGAGCUCGAGUCCGGGAGAGGUGAGUGGAACUGCGAGUGUAGAGGUGAAAUUCGUAGAUAUUCGCAAGAACACCAGUGGCGAAGGCGGCUCACUGGCCCGGUACUGACGCUGAGGUGCGAAAGCGUGGGUAGCAAACAGG
rnacentral:rRNA from 1 species